rnacentral:sRNA from 1 species
AUAGAAACAAUCUACAUAUACAUUUUUGCAUCCAUUUUGUGAAAUAAAUCUUGGAGUUGGGACUUAUUUACAAUGGCUGCCACUGGCAUUUAUUAUUUAGUUUUACAAAAUUUUAAAAGAUAUUAACCAAACGAUAUUUUGCCUAAUUUAUUUCUAAAAAUCUUUACACAAUCUUUCCAUAUAUCUUCAAAAAU